CCCUUAGAUGUUCUGGGCCGCACGCGCGCUACACUGAUGCAUUCAACGAGCCUAGCCUUGACCGAGAGGUCCGGGUAAUCUUUGAAACUGCAUCGUGGUGGGGCUAGAUUAUUGCAAUUAUUAAUCUUCAACGAGGAAUGCCUAGUAAGCGUGAUUCAUCAAAUCGCGUUGAUUACGUCCCUGCCCUUUGUACACACCGCCCGUCGCUCCUACCGAUUGAGUGUGUUGGUGAGGAGUUUGGAUUGGCCUCGGAAGGUGGUUCGCCACCGUCCGUAGCUGAGAAGUUCUCCAAACCGCCCCACUUAGAGGAAGGAGAAGUCGUAACA
rnacentral:rRNA from 1 species